GGUGGUUACAUCCUAUUUUCAGGCUUGAUUUACCUGUUGCACAACUUUUUGAAUUUCUUCCAUGAUUACACACCAUUUUAAAAGUUAUUUAAUGCACAGAAAAUCAGUGUACACGACCAACAUGGAACACAUAAUUAAGAAGCAUCCACAUGUUAAAUCGCCCUCUGUUAGAAGCAAAAAAUAAGUCACUUUCUCGGGUAGAUUUUUGCAUUAUCACUUAUUGAAGUCUGCGCUGAUAACAUGCUUACCUUUUGUGUUGUUUUUGUCACUCCCCCCUAGUCCCUCCCUGUUUUUUAAAGUUGUAUUUCUGAGUAAUAUCCCACAAUCCUACUGGAAGUAGGCAGGGAUAUGCCAUAUGAGUGAUUGAUUGCUGGGAGGAGUGCCUAUUUUUCAAGAUCCUCUGUAUGGAUUUUCUCCGACUGCAGCUUGACAGCUACGAUCAUAAGAAAGCAGAAUACUUUCUCAGAUUAUUUGUGCUUAUGACGACCAAGGAGUUUAUUCUACAAAUUUACUUACCAUCGUGGUCAUCUGGGUUAUGGGAUGCUACUACAUACACUAAAUAAAUAAAGUAAACCAUUUUUUUCCAAGCUGCUACCACAUACACUAUAUAAAUAAAGUAAACCAUUUUUUCCAAGCAGGACAAUGUGCACUGUCAGAGCUGCUGCUGCAUGCGGGGUGCACGUCCAGUUGGAGCUCAUCGGCCAAGCUUAACUACGUGCAGCCCCCCCAACAAACCCUCCCCGGCCAAAAAAAAAAAAAAAUCUAUGUCCCAGGUGCGUGCAAAUGGAGAUAAAAUACUUUCAUGCAAAACUUGUAACUCACGCUGCUAGGGUAUGACGAUUAGUACCAAAACCACGUCACCCCCAAAAAACACAGAAGAUUAAAGCUGUCAGUGGAAAAGGGAUUUGUCAUACGGAUGACUCAAGUAACUGUUCCUUUGGAAGUUGAGGAAAAAAAGAAAUAUACUGUAAGAACUUCGUAAAGGUCACCCUGGCAUUAUUAAAAUGAAAACAAUAGCUAUGAAGCAAUGAAGUCUAGUGGCCAAAGACCAUUUCGAAUAUUUGCAGUGGUUCACUGUUCAAGAAGGGCAGACUAUGGAGUGUUAGCAUGAGUUAUACAAAGUCAGGUAUUUCUUCCACUACAGGACUUCAAAGGACUGUUGACCAGUAUUUCAAGCGACAUGGAUUUGUUUCAGAGCUGUGCAGCUGCUAUAUCCAGAUGUAGUCACUGAUUUGGUAUAUGGUAAAUUCAUUAAUCAAAUGACCCCACUUUACCCUUGAUUUGCAAAACUCAAGAUGCGCUCUGAUGCCCAAAACAGCUGAAAAAUCAGCUGCAGUUUCAUGUAAGAGUCCAAUAAACUGCCAGUGUUUUACAGUACAGUCA